rnacentral:lncRNA from 1 species
CCUCCUUCCCCAUGAGGGGAUUUGGAUGUGCAGAAGGGAAUGGAACUGCAGUCAGGUCAACCCUCAGCCACUCUGGAAGGACUGCAGUUAAAUCAUGAAGACAAUCCUCCUUCGAUUAUGAAGCAGCUGUGGAGUUUGGAUAACAAUGGAGGUGAAGCCUGACCCUGGAAACCAGUCAAGAUUCUCAGAGAUAAACUCUUGGGCAGCAUGAACACUGUCAAUGAAAAGAAACUGACCUUUCGCCUUCUGGAGUCACAGAAUUCCCACAAAUGCUGUGUCCUCAUCAGCUCUGGCAGGCCUCGCCACCACAGCCCCAGACUUUGACGCCACUUCAUAAACAGCAGAGAGGGGCCUGCUGGAGUCUCUGAGGAGCAGACUGUGCGAAGUCGGGGCAUCUCCACCUCCAGCACCUCAAAAUACAGGAUGCCCCCCCAUCCUCCAUUUUCUUCUGGAGGUUACCCUUCCCUCCAGGCUCACAAAGUUAUAAGAGAGUCCCUCGAAGGGUUUUCCUCCGACAGUGUGGUCUGGUCUGGUCUGCCGCUGCUGGAGGUACCUCAAGUGAGCCUUUUAACCAGGCAGAAAUGUAGCGUUCUAAAAUCUGAACCAAGAGCCUUUGGAUGGAUUGCACAGCCAUAGAAGGAGAGACAGGAAGAGUCGGAGCAGGGGUAGCAGAGGGCUUGGGCUAGGAUGAGGAGGAGUGGGGUGAGAGAAGACGAGGGAGAGGAGAUCAUGUUUAUGACAGUGAGAGACUUCCAAUUCCAGCCAAGACGGAGGACUGGUUUACUCUCCCACUUGAAACAACCAAAAAACUUGACAAAACAUCUGAAACAACAGUUUGAAAGGCACUAGAUACUAGGCAGAGAAGGAUAGCGAUCUCUGAGAGAUUCAAAACAAAUGAGGGCAGUACUACAGCUGCCCCAGCUGGCUGCCUUGAGAGAAUUUCC